rnacentral:rRNA from 1 species
AGGACGAACGCUGGCGGCGUGCUUAACACAUGCAAGUCGAGCGGAAAGGCCUUUCGGGGUACUCGAGCGGCGAACGGGUGAGUAACACGUGAGUAAUCUGCCCAUCGCUUCAGGAUAGCCAUCGGAAACGGUGAUUAAUACUGGAUAUGACAUUCCUUCGCAUGUUGGGGUGUGGUAAAGUUUUUUCGGCGGUGGAUGUGCUCGCGGCCUAUCAGCUUGUUGGUGGGGUAAUGGCCUACCAA